AGUAGCCGCGGUAAUUCCAGCUCCAAUAGCGUAUAUUAAAGUUGUUGCAGUUAAAAAGCUCGUAGUUGAACUUCGGGGUUUACUCAUUGGUCAGGCUUAAUUGUCUGUACUGGUGAGAUGAAUCUCUACCUUCUGAGGAACUUUCAUGCCAUUUAUUUGGUGCGAUUGGAAAUCAGGACUGUUACUUUGAAAAAAUUAGAGUGCUUAAAGCAGGCUAACGUCUGAAUACAUUAGCAUGGAAUAAUGAAAUAGGACGGAUUGAUUCUAUUUCGUUGGUUUCUAGGGUCACCGUAAUGAUUAAUAGGGAUAGUUGGGGGCAUUAGUAUUCAAUUGUCAGAGGUGAAAUUCUUGGAUUUAUUGAAGACUAACUACUGCGAAAGCAUUUGCCUAAGGAUGUUUUCAUUAAUCAAGAACGAAAGUUAGGGGAUCGAAGACGAUCAGAUACCGUCGUAGUCUUAACCAUAAACUAUGCCGACUAGGGAUCGGACGAAGUUAAUUUUAUAAUGACGCGUUCGGCACC
rnacentral:rRNA from 1 species